rnacentral:rRNA from 1 species
GACGUAGGGCGCGAGCGUUGUCCGGAUUUAUUGGGCGUAAAGGGCGCGUAGGCGGAUCUUUAAGUCGGGGGUGAAAGCCCAGGGCUCAACCCUGGAAUGGCCUUCGAUACUGGAGAUCUUGAGACCGGAAGAGGUAAGUGGAACUGCGAGUGUAGAGGUGAAAUUCGUAGAUAUUCGCAAGAACACCAGUGGCGAAGGCGGCUUACUGGUCAGGUUCUGACGCUGAGGCGCGAAAGCGUGGGGAGCAAACAGG